rnacentral:rRNA from 1 species
UACGUAGUGGGCGAGCGUUGUCCGGAUUUACUGGGCGUAAAGCGCGUGUAGGCGGCCCGUUAAGUGGGGUGUGAAAGCCCGGGGCUCAACCCCGGGACGCCGCUUCAAACUGGCGGGCUUGAGGACGGAAGAGGGGAGUGGAAUUCCUGGUGUAGCGGUGAAAUGCGUAGAGAUCAGGAGGAACACCCGUGGCGAAGGCGGCUCCCUGGUCCGUCCCUGACGCUGAGACGCGAAAGCGCGGGGAGCGAACGGG